AAAAAAAAAAAAAAAAAAAAAAAAAAAAAAAAAAAAAAAAAAAAAAAAAAAAAAAAAAAAAAAAAAAAAAAAAAAAAAAAAAAAAAAAAA
rnacentral:misc_RNA from 1 species